rnacentral:hammerhead_ribozyme from 1 species
AUCCAGCUGACGAGUCCCAAACAGGACGACGUGCGCGUCCUGAAU